rnacentral:lncRNA from 1 species
AGACCGACAGCAUUAUUCCCCUCCUGAUACCAAUAAACCGUUCGAAAUAAACGCUGCUAGGCUCUGCGUCCUUCUCGAACGCAUCCAAACCCACUGCGCUGCGCGCCACAUCCUGUUACAGACAUGAUUUACAUUACUCAUUUGAGCAAUCUUGGCACCGCGUGGGAGCUCAGGGUGUGUGAGAUGCACGGAUUUAUUGGAGGGACGAACCGGAACAAAGAAAAAGCGAAACUAAAAGCAGAGGCGCACGAGCAGCGGACAAGGACGCGCGCGGUUAGAGGUAACGUCUUCUCUCGCCGCGUUCCCACGUGCGCGCGGAGUCGCGCAAAUCUCGGGGGGGGUCUCGAGCGUCGGCUUUCUCGCGCUGCGUGGCAAGCGCAGGCUCGCGGCGAUGUGCCGCGGAUGCCCUCGUGCGACACUUCGAGUGCGGAGCGUAAUUGCAGAGAGGGACAGACGUCUGAGACGGACACGGUGUGCAUAGGGAUGGUCCUUUGUUAUUCAGCACAAGGAAAUUAUGAACACUAUUUUGAAAUACUGGAGGAUUUAUUGCCAGCAGAUUAUAUGUUUAAGAAGCCAGAAAGCAGAAACUGUGUUGACAAGGGGAUGAUUUCCUGUCAUGAAUGCAAAGAGCUCAAUUGUACUCUCCUUAAAGAAACACAGAUGGUCAAUUUCACAGAAUUCAGAAGGAAAUAUAAAGAAUGCCAAGACGAGCGGCAAAACUGUACAGUUACACCCACACCAAGGAAAGCUCUGGAAUUCUCCACGGGCACUAUGGGCACUACAAACACUACGAGCAGUACGAACAUUAUGAGCACUACGAGCGCUACGGGGAAUACGAACACUAUGGGGACUACGAGCACUAUGAGCACUAGAAGCACUACGCGGACUACGAACACUACGGGGAUUACAAACACUACGAGCCCUACGAGCACUACGAGGAGUAUGAACACUACGAACACUACGAGCCCUACGAACACUACGAGCCCUACGAACACUACGAGCCCUACGAACACUACGAGCCCUACGAACACUACGAGCCCUACGAACACUACGAGCACUACGCGGACUGCGAACGCUACGGGGACUACGAAGACUACGAGCGCUACGGGGACUACGAGCACUACAAGCAAUAUGCCGCGAGUGAGCACGAUAUUGUAUCCAAGCAGUCCAGCCUCCAGCAAACCAGAACCUUCCUCCACAAGUCUUACAACAGAAUUGCAAACAACAGAUUCAACAGUAACAACGACAAAAUCCCCAACGACAUCCAAAUCACAGUCAGGUAACGGAACCCUGUGCAGUCCGCAGCUCCCAGGAACUGAAAUGUCUAACAUUUUGAAAGCUUCACAAGCAGGUGUGAUUUCAUCACUGACUGCAUUCAUAAUCCUCGUACUGCUUGUAUGCUACCUCUACCUUGAAAACAGACGACUGAAAAGACUGAUGGACUCCGCUGCUGGCAGUGAAGUCGUGUGUAUUUCAGUUCUACGAGAAGGUGACCGUAAUAUCCAGAAUUCUCCAGAGACUGAGGAGUGAACAAAUAAGCUGAUAGUGAAAGUAAAGGGAAGACUGACUGAAACAAGCCUCUGGAAACACUGAUGAAGCUGAUGCUGUGAUAUGUACAGUAGUGGGGAAAAGAACCAUGUAUUCCUGCAUGUUUAAUAAAUGCUGCUGAAAUUGCUAAUAUUGUUACA